rnacentral:rRNA from 1 species
UACGUAGGGCGCAAGCGUUGUCCGGCAUUAUUGGGCGUACAGAGCUCGUAGGCGGCUUGUCACGUCGGAUGUGAAAGCCCGGGGCUUAACCCCGGGUCUGCAUUCGAUACGGGCUAGCUAGAGUGUGGUAGGGGAGAUCGGAAUUCCUGGUGUAGCGGUGAAAUGCGCAGAUAUCAGGAGGAACACCGGUGGCGAAGGCGGAUCUCUGGGCCAUUACUGACGCUGAGGAGCGAAAGCGUGGGGAGCGAACAGG